UGUAAAUGCAUUCGUUAGUGUCUAAAUAACAUAUUUUCUCUUUUUCUUUGAAAGUCCUUAUUUACCACUUGACCUGAUUUUGAGUGUAUUCCAGUGUAUAGAACAGCGCACCCUACAGAUGGUGGCUAUAUUGCACUUUCAUACACAUUUUCGAUACACACGAGCGAAUUUGGCGGGCUUCCUUGUGAUUGGCUGGCAUGCAUGUGGGCGGUACCCAUAGGCAGUCAACUCCAAGGUCCACGCAGACGUCCGCGCUUUAAAAAUUAAAGGUGGAAAGCAGCAGCAGCAAGGCCCAAUGGAUGUACCAGAGGAUUAAACACAUGCAGUGAAACAUGCAAAGGCGAAGACGCAUUAAUCCAAAGGAAGAUGCAAAAUUUUAUGUUACUACUGAAAGGGACAAAGUGGGACUUGACAUCAAGUACAUCAAUUCCUUCAAAGGUCGUGGCAUCUUCACCUCUGUUCAAUUUGAAAAAGGAGACUUUCUGUUGGAAUAUAGAGGCGAACUAAUAAGCAAGCAAGAAUGUGAGAGGAGACAAAGACUUUACCAUGACCACCUUAAGGUGUUCAUGUUCGAGUUCCAUUUUAAUGGAAAACUGUGGUGUGUUGAUGCAGCAAA